rnacentral:rRNA from 1 species
ACGCUCGACACCUACGGGAGGAGCAGUGGGGAAUAUUGCACAAUGGGGGAAACCCUGAUGCAGCAACGCCGCGUGAAGGAAGACGGUUUUCGGAUUGUAAACUUCUGUUCUUAGUGAAGAUAGUGACGGUAGCUAAGGAGCAAGCCACGGCUAACUACGUGCAGCAGCCGCGGUAAUCUGAGCGGGCUGGCAAGGC